rnacentral:rRNA from 1 species
GAGCCCGCGUCUCAUUAGCUAGUUGGUAGGGUAAUGGCCUACCAAGGCAACGAUGAGUAGCUGGUCUGAGAGGAUGAUCAGCCACACUGGAACUGAAACACGGUCCAGACUCCUACGGGAGGCAGCAGUGGGGAAUAUUGCGCAAUGGGCGAAAGCCUGACGCAGCAACGCCGUGUGAGGGAUGAAGGCUUUCGGGUCGUAAACCUCUGUCGGAAGGGAAGAACGGGCAAUGGUCUAAUAGGCCGUUGUUUUGACGGUACCUUUAGAGGAAGCACCGGCUAACUCCGUGCCAGCAGCCGCGGUAAUACGGAGGGUGCAAGCGUUAUUCGGAAUUACUGGGCGUAAAGCGCACGUAGGCGGCCUUGUAAGUCAGGGGUGAAAUCCCACGGCUCAACCGUGGAACUGCCUUUGAAACUGCAGGGCUUGAAUCCUGGAGAGGGUGGCGGAAUUCCUGGUGUAGGAGUGAAAUCCGUAGAUAUCAGGAGGAACACCGGUGGCGAAGGCGGCCACCUGGACAGGUAUUGACGCUGAGGUGCGAAAGUGUGGGGAGCAAACAGGAUUAGAUACCCUGGUAGUCCACACCGUAAACGAUGAACACUAGGUGCCGGAC